GUUGCCGUGGCCGAGUGGUUAAGGCGAUAGACUUGAAAUCUUUUGGGAUUUUCCCGCACAGGUUCGAAUCCUGCCUACAACA
rnacentral:tRNA from 1 species